GCUCCGGUGGUUUAGUGGUUAGAGCGUCCGCCUCGGAUAGGAGAGGUCAUGGGUUCGAUCCCCGGUUGAGCCA